UGGGGAAUAUUGGGCAAUGGAGGCAACUCUGACCCAGCCAUGCCGCGUGGGUGACGAAGGUCUUCGGAUUGUAAAGCCCUUUCGGCGGGGACGAUGAUGACGGUACCCGCAGAAGAAGCCCCGGCUAACUUCGUGCCAGCAGCCGCGGUAAUACGAAGGGGGCUAGCGUUGUUCGGAAUUACUGGGCGUAAAGGGCGUGUAGGCGGCCCGCUAAGUCAGGUGUGAAAUUCCUGGGCUCAACCCAGGACGUGCACUUGAGACUGACGUGCUUGAGUCCGGGAGAGGAUGGUGGAACUCCCAGUGUAGAGGUGAAAUUCGUAGAUAUUGGGAAGAACACCCGUGGCGAAGGCGGCCAUCUGGACCGGUACUGACGCUAAGGCGCGACAGCGUGGGGAGCAAACA
rnacentral:rRNA from 1 species